CCUACGGGAGGCAGCAGUGGGGAAUAUUGCACAAUGGGGGAAACCCUGAUGCAGCGACGCCGCGUGAGUGAAGAAGUAUUUCGGUACGUAAAGCUCUAUCAGCAGGGAAGAAAAUGACGGUACCUGACUAAGAAGCCCCGGCUAACUACGUGCCAGCAGCCGCGGUAAUACGUAGGGGGCAAGCGUUAUCCGGAUUUACUGGGUGUAAAGGGAGCGUAGACGGCAGCGCAAGUCUGGAGUGAAAUCCCAUGGCUUAACCAUGGAACUGCUUUGGAAACUGUGCAGCUAGAGUGCAGGAGAGGUAAGCGGAAUUCCUAGUGUAGCGGUGAAAUGCGUAGAUAUUAGGAGGAACCCCGAUUGCGAAGGCAGCCUGCCGGGGUGCGACUGACGCUGAGGCUCGAAGGUGCGGGUAUCAAACAGGAUUAGAUACCCGUGUAGUC
rnacentral:rRNA from 1 species